rnacentral:tRNA from 1 species
GGGGGAUUAGCUCAACUGGUAGAGCGCUGGCUUUGCAAGCCAGAGGUCGCGGGUUCGAGGCCCGCAUCCUCCACCA